rnacentral:rRNA from 1 species
GACGAACGCUGGCGGCGUGCUUAACACAUGCAAGUCGAACGGAAAGGCCUGCUUUCCCUUGUGGAUUGCGGGUGCUCGAGUGGCGAACGGGUGAGUAACACGUGAGUGAUCUGCCCCCAACUUGGGUAUAAGCCUGGGAAACUGGGUCUAAUUCCCGAUAGGACUGCAGGGUGGUGCCUGUGGUGGAAAACGAUUUUCUAGUGGUUGGGGUUUAGCUCGCGGCCUAUCAGCUUGUUGGUGGGGUAAUGGCCUACCAAGGCGGCGACGGGUAGCCGGCCUGAGAGGGUGGACGGCCACAUUGGGACUGAGAUACGGCCCAGACUCCUACGGGAGGCAGCAGUGGGGAAUAUUGCACAAUGGGCGGAAGCCUGAUGCAGCGACGCCGCGUGGGGGAUGACGGCCUUCGGGUUGUAAACUCCUUUCGACCGCGAGGAAGCCACCUGGUUGGAAGGGUGGUGACGGUAGUGGUAGAAGAAGCACCGGCUAACUACGUG